UAAAAAUUAGAGCUAAUUGAAAGCUAAAAUAAAGACUAGUAAAUUAGUAAAUUUUUGUUUUUCUAGGUAUAGAAUAAGAUCAAAGCCUUCCAAUUCAUUAGAUUCGAGAUCUGUGAUUAAGAAAGAUUUCUUUUGUUUUUCUCGCUUUGUAAAAUAUUUGCUAAUUAGAUUAUGUUUUUGUUCAAAGAAGUAAUUAUACAUUCUAAGGCUUCAUUUAUUUAGUAGAAUAUAAUAAUACAAAAAAUAUUUUUUAAA
rnacentral:misc_RNA from 1 species